UAGGGAAUCUUCCGCAAUGGACGCAAGUCUGACGGAGCAACGCCGCAUGAGUGAAGAAGGAUUUCGGUUCGUAAAACUCUGUUGUUAGAGAAGAACAGCGCAUAGAGUAACUGUUAUGCGUGUGACGGUAUCUAACCAGAAAGCCACGGCUAACUACGUGCCAGCAGCCGCGGUAAUACGUAGGUCCCGAGCGUUGUCCGGAUUUAUUGGGCGUAAAGCGAGCGCAGGCGGUUAGAUAAGUCUGAAGUUAAAGGCAGUGGCUCAACCAUUGUAGGCUUUGGAAACUGUUUAACUUGAGUGCAGAAGGGGAGAGUGGAAUUCCAUGUGUAGCGGUGAAAUGCGUAGAUAUAUGGAGGAACACCAGUGGCGAAGGCGACUCUCUGGUCUGUAACUGACGCUGAGGCUCGAAAGCGUGGGUAGCAAACAGG
rnacentral:rRNA from 1 species